rnacentral:tRNA from 1 species
ACGCCCGUAGCUCAGAGGACAGAGCAGGCGCCUUCUAAGCGCAAGGCCGCGGGUUCGAGUCCCGCCGGGCGUG